AACGCACAUUGCGCCCAUUAGUACUCUAGUGGGCAUGCCUGUUCGAGCGUCAUUUCAACCCUUAAGCCUAGCUUAGUGUUGGGAGCCUACUGCUUUUACUAGCUGUAGCUCCUGAAAUACAACGGCGGAUCUGCGAUAUCCUCUGAGCGUAGUAAUUUUUUUCUCGCUUUUGACUGGAGUUGCAGCGUCCUUUGCCGCUAAACCCCCCAAUUUUUAAUGGUUGACCUCGGAUCAGGUAGGAAUACCCGCUGAACUUAA
rnacentral:misc_RNA from 1 species